rnacentral:rRNA from 1 species
CACGUAGGGGGCGAGCGUUGUCCGGAUUUAUUGGGCGUAAAGAGCUCGUAGGCGGCUUGGUAAGUCAGGUGUGAAACCUCCAGGCUCAACCUGGAGACGCCACUUGAUACUGCCAUAGCUAGAGUCCGGUAGGGGAGCGUGGAAUUUCUGGUGUAGCGGUGAAAUGCGCAGAUAUCAGGAGGAACACCGGUGGCGAAGGCGGGUCUCUGGGCAACUACUGACGCUGGGGAGCGAAAGCGUGGGGAGCGAACAGG